UACAGCUGACCCAUUGGGUUAAAAUGGCGCGUGAGAAGUCAUUUUGUAUGGACUAUAUAGAUGUUGGUUUUACGUUCGUGAAAAUUGAGAAAUCUUUCGUGACAAAGACUAUGACGUUUCUAGUUAUUGUACAGAAUAGAUCCUUGUCCAUAUUUGGAUUCAACCCACGAUAUGAAUGUCAAAGAAAUACAAUCCUUAAACUAUCUUUGUUAUAUUUUAUAUUCAAAAGACAUUUAAAUCUAAGUUAUAUUUAGAAGACACUGCCCUAUGGGCAUAUUAUACAAUCUAUUUUUUCUUAGCUUAUCUUAGCCUGUCGUAAGUAGGUAUAUAACCAAAAUCCUGUCAGAACAUUUUCUGUCGCACUCACUCGGCGUUCAUCAGAAGCGUACAUCCGAUCUGACCAUGUGAGACUUGUCUGCGUUGUUGCCAGACUUAUAUGAGCUAUCGCUUUUACCCGAACGGAGGUUCCCUGAAAUAGACCGAGAUAACAAUACCUAGUUGACACAUGGAUGCUUGUCUGCAAAGUUUGAACUCAAAUGCUCAUACAUUUUAUCAGACAAUUUCUGACAAUAUGCGACUGGCCAGUAAAAAAUAGAUUGUAUAAUAGCCCAAAGUUGUUUUGUAUAUUUUGUGCAAUUUAGUCUUAUUUAAGUCUUCGCUUUUUUGUUAUUCCGUCAAUUGAGGACAAUCCUAUAUACAUGAACAGUUAGACACGUAUGUUAAAAUAAAUAUUUAGACUAAGGCAAAAUUUUAUUGUCUUAUCUGUCUGUCAAGUUUUCACUUGUUUUCCUGUGUCUAACUGUUCAGUACAAAAUGACUUCUCCGCGCCAUUUUAACUCUAUGGGUCAACUGUCAUGUCAAAAAUACGAUACUAAAAUCGUGCUUUUUGACAGGUUAUUUGACACAUAAAGUCUUUUGACUUUUUUGGUGCGUGAGAACUCAUUUUUCACGCAUUAUACACCAGUCGAUCGAUAGAAAAAUGUUAAAGGAAAAUUAAUAAGUAGUAAAUGAAUAAGAUCGACAAAUGUAUAUUUUUCCUAUUAUAUUAAUGUAUAAAGCACCCAAAAGAUAUUUACUGGCGACACGAUCUCCACAAUUUAAAGUAUCUUAGAGACAGAUACAAAUAUUUUUUCAUAAGAAUAUUAUACUUAAUAACAUUAAUAUUUAUAAAAUCCCUCUAAAACUCCUAACUUCAAAUUGGUAAAAUCCCACUAAAAAUACUUAAAUUAAAAAUAGUUAUUCAUUUCGUUAUAAUUUAAAAGUUACUUAUAAGUAAACGAAAAACCGUUUCUUUUUUCUAUUCACUGUAAAUAUAAAUUUCAUUGAAAUUAAAUCUUCAUAACACAUUCAAUUACAAUAAUAUAAUUAUAAUCAAUGAUGUUUUACUUUAUAUUAUUUUUAAUGCAUGUUGUAAAUAUAAUAUGAAGUUAAAUUGUAAUUAAUUGAGAGAGUUAUUCUGUAACAUCUUUUCUUCAUUUGUGCAAUUUUAUGAUUAUUUAUUAUUAUUCACAUCAUUAUUAAUAUUUAGUCUUAAGGAACUCAUUUUUUUACAGUGAUAGAAUAUAAACUUAUGAUAAAUAAUAAUAUAAACUAAAAUAUAUUUGAACAUGAAAACAUUUAUAAAGUUUCGUCAAAUUAAAGUUUGACAUAUGUAUAAUGGUUGCGCAGAAAUCUCUGAACCUCACUAAAUAUACUUACAGGCCUAAAAAUAAUGCUAUCUUCUUGCUCAGGAAGUAUUUUGAGAAAGAUAAACACAUAAGUUUGAACUGACAGAUAAAAUUAAAUCGCCUUUUUUUCACUGAAUGGAAUAUGAACUAAACUUUUUAGUUUAGUUUCAGUUCUACCAAAUGUAGGGCCAAUAACACAGAAUGUAAUUUUGAAUACUUAUGAUUUUAGAAUAUUUAUGAAUAUUUCAAAUUAGUUUAGAUUUAUAAAAGCUGCUAAUAAAAUCCUCUUGUAUUUUAGUUUCGGAUUAGGAUAACAAGGGUUGUGAUUUAUUUAUCUCUUUAUUUUUCCGGCACAAAAGCUAUUGUUUUUUCUAUUUGUGAUUUGGAUAGAUAAUUUCGAAUAGCAUUACUGAUAUUUUCUUAGUUAAUUCAGAUUAAUUUGUUAUUGUGAUAAUAAAAAUAUAUGUACUUACUAAAAAUUAAAAUCUGCUAAUGUAAAAAUGUUCAGUUUUGUUUCUUGUGAAAAUAAAAUGUCAAUUUUUGUUUGCGGACUUAUUAUUACUGUCAUAAUUAUUAAUUAAUAGAAUUUUUGUAAUUUUUGAAUUAAAAUGAUGUAAGUAAUGUUAAUUUUACUAAACACUGACAAUGAAAUGUGGGCUAUACUGAAUAUUUAAAUUACAUAGCGUUAUGUAAUAUUGUGUAAAAGUGUAUAAAUAUUAUAGGUGAUUUACAAUAUUGAUUGUAAACAAAACCCCGCGUGUCUUGUGAUACUAACAGGGUCACAUAGAUAAAUAUUAGAAUAUGUAUAUAUUUAAGUUCUGGUUAUUUCUAUUAUCACUAUUUUUGCGUGAGUUGAAUGCCAUAGGGUCUAAGUUUCUUUUAAUAUUAUUGGCAACCCUAGAAAUCUAAAUAACAUCUUAUCACCGCCAACAUUGGUAGAAGGCGUCGAAACACAAAAACAGAGUAAAAUAGACCUAAAGAUCUACGAAUUACAAUCGAAAUUCAAUAUCACUUUUUUAUUUUCGCAAGAUUUCCGCUUGAAGCGCUGGUUGUUGAUGUAUAGAGCAAAAUUGAGCUUUAAAAUAAUGCAGUUAAGGUUUAGUUUCGAUGCUCAAAUUCUAUCAACUUUAUACAGCAAAGUUUGAUAAUUGAUUUCUAGCUUAAAUCAGGAUGACAUUCAUCUCCCGCGCUACUGUAUAUUUUCAAAAUAGUAUACAUAAUAUGCUACAUGGUUCAAAUGAAGUAAUAUAAAUAAUUUUGUUUAGUACAAAUUUAAUAUUGCACUUUUUUAUAUAAUAUUAAGACCCAAUUCUGUUCUCUCUAUCUCUGAAUUAAAUUGACAGGUCUAAAGCUGAGAUCUACACAGCGCACUUUCACUUUGCUCAGACUUAAGUCACUGUUAAAACGAGACAGCGUUAUACCGCUGGCAUAAAUCUGUCUCGCUUUAACUGAAACUUAAGUCUCAGCAAAGUCGAAGUGCGUUCUAUAGAUUUCAACCUUAAUAUAGUGCUAUCCUUGUCAAUAUAGUUUAGCUUAAAAAUUGUGUACAACAGAAUUGGUAUCAAUAUUCGUUUCCGUGAUUGGAAACUGCUAUGGAAUGGAAACAUUUAAUUUUUUGUGACAUGGUUUCAAUGUUUUAACUCUGAAAACAAUUUAUGUAUUUAAACACCAAAAUAAAAUAGUUGUUAGGUAAUGAUUUUUAAAUCAAUUGAAUUGAAUAAUUUAUUAUAGUUUAAUAUAAUAUUUAUUAAUAAAUAAUUAAUAUAGGUAAUAAAUAAAUGAAAUGUCCACUAAAUUUAUUGGACAAUAUCUAUGGCCUUUUCUAUCUGGUAAUAUUUCUUCUAAAGGUUGAUUUUUCAAUAUUUGUCAAAUGAAGGAAUAAAUUUAACAGGUUUGGUAUUACAAUUAUGCCGAAAUGUUUGAAAUUAAUUCAUUAGUUAAUUUGACAAAUGAAAACUCAGCCUUAAUAAAAAAACUAAGUUAUAACUUGUAAUUACUUAAAAAUUAAUGUGUUCUGAACAACAAAUUAAAAGUAAAUCCAAUUAUUUUCUUAAUAUUACCUAGUAAAUACAUAAAUUAAUAAAUAAAUAGGUAAAGAAAAUUAGUUAAAAAUUAAUGAAUACAUUUUUAAUGCUGGUAACUUUAUAUACAGCCUUGAUUAUUCAAUUAUUUAUUUAUGUUUGUGGAAAUUCUAAAAAAAAUAGGUGAACUUACUCUCACGAUAAUUAUGAAAUCCUAUAGUAGUUUGAGAUUAAAAACUACAAAAUAUUAAUAUACACCUUGCAUUGCUAAAUGUUUAGUCAUAGAAAAUUCUAUUUUAAAAUUUACUUGAUGUCUGAAUGUUUGUAAAUAAAUAUUACCUACUGUAAUCUGCACUGUAACUAUUUAAAUGGACUGUUGCUACAUACUAUACUUGUAUCUGUAUGAAAAAUAUUAUGAAUAUUUGUAUGUAUAGCUUGCGACAGAUCGACAUGGCAAUAGGGAUGGGGACGCCCCGCACACCCGCGCUAACCCAGUGCGGGACAGCGCAGAUGACGUGCGGGUGCGCGGGGCGUCUCCCCGCCUGAUACCUCGAUUGCCAUCUCAACCUGUCGCGUACUUAACUCAUACUAUAAAUUCACUAAAUAAAAGAUGGCCUUUUCUUGUAAGACAUCUCUAAAGCAUAAUAUAUUUUGUAAGUAAUAUAGUCCAUACAUUUUGAGAACUCACUCGCCAUUUUAGCUCAUGUCAACUGUGCUGUCAAAAGUACGAUUUUACAUGACAGUUGUGCAUAGAUCAAGCGCUUACCUAUAGUGAAUAAAAAAAAAAAAGAAUAACAAUAGCUAUAAUAAAAAAAAAGAUCAAAAAUGGCUAGGGAGUUCUCAAAAUGUAUGCAUUAUCCCUAUAUUUUAUUGAGAGUAAGUCAUCAUAUUAUAGAUUUAGAAAAUGUUGUGUCCUGGAAAGCUAUUGGUACUAUUAAUAUUUAAAAUGUUAACCGGCAUAAUGACAAAUUACUAGUUUUGUUAAGAUCAAUAAAUGCAAAAUGUUUUAAA